rnacentral:lncRNA from 1 species
CAGCUGCCUAGGGGCUUUUCCGGCCUGGGCCAAGGCAGGAGGAAGCCCCAACUAACUCAUAGUCACUCCUCAGAAUACUUUUAUUAAAGGGGAAAAAAUCACCAAUGAUGAUAUCCAGUGACAAGCUUCUGCCACCCACACAUUCCACGUUCCACCUGGCCAUGAGCUGGUUUCAGUCUCAGGGCACAAGCAACACAAGUCAGAAUUUUUUUUUUUUCUUUUAAUCUUUGGGGAAGAAACAGAAAAGGAGGAGAAAGCAGAGUAACAAGUGCAGAUUAAAUAUGAGGCAGGUCCAGGCUUUUGAUACCACUGUGUUUAACUCACCAAAUAAUCAGAGCAUUAAAUGCAGGCAUAAUUUGUCAGCAAGCUCCCUCCAUUGUUCCCUGAAGCAUGCGGGGUUGGGGGGGGGUGUGGGCUAAUUCAAUUCACGUGGGAAUCGGUGUUUACAUCCACGAGUCCUAAUGGAAGGGCACACCAUUUUCAAACUGGAACAAAUAAAUCAUAAUGCCCUUUGCCACUAAAACCGGGGACCUUGCGAUGCCUCUCUCUUGGUGGACGAGCUACAUUUGGAAGGACGUUGUUUUCUUCAGUGUGGAAAUCUCCACUUGCUGGCUACUGCAGCAAGUCCCAGAAGGCCCCUCGGAUCUUUGAGGUUGUCAUCUUCCUUUGCAAGUUUAGUCCUAAACCCGCUGACAACAAUCCAGUCUUCAGGAUGGAGGGCUGUCGGGAGCCCAGGGUAUCCUUGGUCAGACCGUGAGGCAUGUGAUACGGAGCCACGGAGGGCGGCAGAGUCCUUCUCAGAGAUCCGUCCACGCCACCAGCCCCAGGUCGACCGGAGGGUGUGUGGAAGCAGGAAAUUCAGGGGCUACAGUGAAACCCCGACUCUAGCUUCUCUGUUGCCAGUGAGUGACAGCUGGAUGUCAGGGGACUCACAAAUGUGGACUCAUACAAGGUUGGCAAAAGCGACAGGCUCAGAGGAACUGGCCCCAACUCAAACUAGGGUGCCCCCCCACUCUUGGCUCCCCCAAACCCGCAAGCCCUCACUUACCCGGCAGAAGCCUACUGCUCCCCUCCAAAAGCAGAGACAGCCGUGGAUUUUAAGACCUGAGAUGAUGCAUCACUGUGGCUGUAACACUGGACUGAAUCUUGUUCUGUGUUCUAUGUAUCAUAUUCUCUGACAUAAAAAGGCAUUUCAGAGCAAAACAAAACACCAAACACAAGUUAAGAGCCACUGGAGUUACAUACGCAGGGAAGAGCAAAGGCCUCCAAGAAGGUGUGGUCAAAUGAACAGGAAGCUUUCCAAAGAACAGGGGCAAAUUCAGAAGAACGGGUAAGUUCAGAAGCUGGUGGUCCAGGUGAAUGUGGACCCCAAGGUCCAGUUCUGGGUUUUGCUUUGAGCUGCAAGCGUCAUCACUUUGUUCAAAACCCCCAGAGUUUUAUGUUUAUAAUAAAUGUAUUGCCUUGAUCA